AUAAUAUAGUGAUCCAUCUCUUAAAUUUUUUUUUUUUAAACUUAGCCUGGUGUAACAGUGCACACCUCUAGAAUCAGCUUCUCAGGAGGUUAAGGUGGGAGGAUCACUUGAGCCCAGGAAUUCAAAACUGCAGUGAGCUAUGAUCACGCCACUGCACUCCAGCCUAGGUGACAGAGCAGGACCCCAUCUCUUUUUAAAAAAGAAAAAAAAUAUGAACUGUUGAUACAAUUACUUGGAUGAAUCCCGAGGGAAUUAUGACUUGUCAGCUUGUGGGAAAGUGACAUCAGCGUCCACCCGCUAACCCUGCCCUCUGCAACCUGCUUGGAGCUGCUGUUGAUAUUGUCAAAGAGUAAUGCCAAUCUGCCUUCAUCCCUUCGCCGUGUGAAUUCCUUUCAGGUGGCCUUUUUGAAGAUGUAACUAUUAGAGCUGGGCAUUCUCCUCCCCCGGCAGACAGCUCUCAAGCAGGAGCACACCGAGGCCAGCAGUCAGCUCAGGAGGCAUCAAUUACAAAGACAAGAACCAGAGCUAUGGGAUAAGAGCAUUGCAUUGAAGUUUUAAGUUUACUUGUUUGCAUGUAUUCUCUAAGAGAAGAGUUAACUUUAGAUCUUUGAAAACCCAGGACUGUGAAGAAAGUCAUAGUAGCAGGUUGAGGCAAGUGUAGAAGUUACAUCUCUAUUUCCCACAGAGAGGAAUAUUCACAUAUGUGCAGUGUCAGCACCACCUGGAAGGUUAUUACCUAAUGGAGAUCCAUCUGUCCUGUGUGGAAUCCAGUGAGGAAUUUUAUUGGUGGAACUGAAUGUUAACUGCUGUAAAUCCUAGGAAAUAAACUUUUAAAGAGUUUCUCAGGAUGAUUUAAAACAAAUUUUAAAAAAGAAAAGUAGAAAACAUUUUAUACUUUAUUCAGAGGAGAUGCUCAAUAGAUGUUUGUUGAAUGAAUGAUUAUCAAAUUAAAGGAUUUCCUAUUUAUGCAAAUCUGCAUGUUUCUUUUGUUAUUUCCUUUACCAUACAUUAUUGCAAAUUAAUAAAUAUACCUCACUAGCAUCCCGUUACAGAGUUGUUCUAUUCUUUGUGUACCAGCACAAGCGGUGAGGAAACCUUUCAGUGAGAAGGAUAGAGCUACAGGGAAUCCCACAGAGUACACGCUAGCUCCUAAUUUCACAAGGAACGUUUGAGACUUGCCUAGAAUCACACAGCUAGGAUCAAAGCUGGGACUGGAGCCAGGCAUGUCCAUCUCCUCUGCCCAAGAUCUGAUCCAUCUCUCUCUGACAUCCUCCUUUCCUACUCCAGGAUCAGGAGGACAGUCUGUGGAUUUGCAAAUAUCCUUGCUGCUCAAUUGGCAUUAAUCUCCACAGACCACCUGAUAUAUCUUGCCUCAAAAACCCUGAGUUUUCUAUCCGCAAAUUUUCUAACACUUUUUUUUUUUUGAGAUGGAAUUUAGCUCUCGUUGCCCAGCUGGAGAUCUCGGCUCACUGCAGGCUCCGCCUCUGGGGUUCAAGCGAUUUGCCUGCCGCAGGCUCCCAAGUAGUUGGGAUUACAGGCACCCACCAUCACACCUGGCUAAUUUUUUGUAUUUUUAGUAGAGACAGGGUUUUGCCAUAUUGGCCAGGCUGGUCUCGAACUCCUGAUCUCAGGUGAUCCACCCACCUCAGCCUUCUAAAGUGCUGGGAUUACAGGUGUGAGUCACCACGCCUGGCCUCUAACAUUCUUAACACAGGUGUCACUUGGCAUUUUAUGAUUGGGUGUACUUUUCAUGAUUUCUUCUUCCUGGUAGUGCAACCAAAACAUUUGUCUUACUAGCAAAGCAGUGGUAUGGCACUCCUAAUUCUGUAACUUGUAGACUGACAUAGGAAUAAUACCCAACUGUUGAUCCUGCAGAGUCAUUUUAUGAAGCACAGUUUGAAACGUUGAAGUUCUUAGUGAUACAUCCAAGACUCACAGCCACAGAAGAGAAUUAGUUUGGCUUCACUUAAGCUACUAGACUCCCAAACAUCAUGCUGACUUUCCAUGCUUUAGAUUCCUAUCUGUCAGUAUACAGCAGGGUUCCUCAGCUUCAAUACUGUUUAUAUCUUGGUCUGGAUAAUUCUUUUUGUGGGAGACUGCUCUCUGCAUUGAAGGAUGUUUAGCAACAUCCCUGACCUCUACCCACUAGAUUCCAUUAGCACAGCCCCCUCCUCCACUCCAGUUGUGUUGACCAAAAAUAUCUGUAGAUAUUGUUGUGAUUGACAAAAUUAAUUCCAGCUGAGAACCACUGCUAUGGAAGAUAUGGCCUGAGAAACAAGAUUUGGUGACUGUCUAUGGAGUUGUGUAUUGCCCAUGACAGAUUAUUACAAAAUCUGAAUCUUUUUCUGGCAUGUAGCCUAAGCUUAGUAUGCUAUUUUUUUUUCACAAAUGAAUACAUUAGUGGUGAAUGCCUUUAUGUGUGACUGUUUCUUAGAGUUCAGUUUGUAUCGGUCUAAUGUUGGAAAUUGGAAUAAAUUAGAUGAAGCAGAGUUCAGCCUGUGCAUAAAAAAGAAUUUUCUUCUGAGAUAGUUUUUCUCCCUCUGGAAAAAAGCAAUGGCCAUACUACCAUACUAAUGUAUGUUUAUGAUUUAGAUCCUAAAGGUGCUUGUGAUUGCACAGAUAACUCUGUACUGCUCAAAAAAACCCAACUAGAAGAAUAUUCUAAUUUUCUAACCUUGCCUCCCUAAUAAAAUCGAGUUGAG
rnacentral:lncRNA from 1 species